AUUUUUUAUGAAUAGACCAGAAGACGGAGAAUAAAUAUUUAAAUAAGUAUGCGACUAAUUAUUCACUAAUUGCACCUUUUUUGUUAUUAUGAUCGAUAAACCUAUAACAGCAACUAAUAUUUACUUUGAAUUCUUGUUUGUUUCUAAACUUUAAAGACAGAGUAUAAUCUGAAUUUUGAUCAAAAUCACGACCCCAAGAAUCCAAAGCUAAGCACUACCAUGAGACCACACUGGC
rnacentral:lncRNA from 1 species